rnacentral:tRNA from 1 species
GCGGUUGUGGCUCAAGGGUAGAGCGCUCGCCGAGCAUGGGUGAGGCCCUGGGUUCAAUCCCCAGCACCACA